rnacentral:rRNA from 1 species
AUUGAACGCUGGCGGCAUGCUUUACACAUGCAAGUCGAACGGCAGCGGGGUAGUGCUUGCACUACUGCCGGCGAGUGGCGAACGGGUGAGUAAUAUAUCGGAACGUACCGAGUAAUGGGGGAUAACCAAUCGAAAGAUUGGCUAAUACCGCAUACGUCCUGAGGGAGAAAGCGGGGGAUCGCAAGACCUCGCGUUAUUCGAGCGGCCGAUAACUGAUUAGCUAGUUGGUGGGGUAAAGGCCUACCAAGGCGACGAUCAGUAGCGGGUCUGAGAGGACGAUCCGCCACACUGGGACUGAGACACGGCCCAGACUCCUACGGGAGGCAGCAGUGGGGAAUUUUGGACAAUGGGGGCAACCCUGAUCCAGCCAUGCCGCGUGUAUGAAGAAGACCUUCGGGUUGUAAAGUACUUUUGUUAGGGAAGAAAAGGGAAGUGCUAAUACCACUUUUUGCUGACGGUACCUAAAGAAUAAGCACCGGCUAACUACGUG